rnacentral:rRNA from 1 species
GACGAACGCUGGCGGCGUGCUUAACACAUGCAAGUCGAACGGAAAGGCCUGGCUUUUGUGGGGUGCUCGAGUGGCGAACGGGUGAGUAACAAGUGAGUAACCUGCCCGUGACUUUGGGAUAACUUCAGGAAACUGGGGCUAAUACCGGAUAGGAGCUCCUGCUGCACGGCGGGGGGUGGAAAGUUUCGGCGGUUGGGGAUGGAAGCGCGGCAUAUCAGCUUGUUGGUGGGGUAGUGGCUUACCAAGGCUUUGACGGGUAGCCGGCCUGAGAGGGUGACCGGCCACAUUGGGACUGGGGUACCGCCCAGACUCCUACGGGAGGCAGCAGUGGGGAAUAUUGCACGAUGGGCGGAAGCCUGAUGCAGCACCGCCGCGUGCGGGAUGACGGCCUUCGGGUUGUAAACCGCUUUCGCCUGUGACGAAGAGUGAGUGACGGUAAUGGGUAAAGAAGCACCGGCUAACUACGUG